AACGAACGCUGGCGGCAUGCCUAACACAUGCAAGUCGAACGAGACCUUCGGGUCUAGUGGCGCACGGGUGCGUAACGCGUGGGAACCUGCCCUUAGGUUCGGAAUAACUCCCCGAAAGGGGUGCUAAUACCGGAUAAUGUCUUCGGACCAAAGAUUUAUCGCCUUUGGAUGGGCCCGCGUUGGAUUAGCUAGUUGGUAGGGUAAAAGCCUACCAAGGCGACGAUCCAUAGCUGGUCUGAGAGGAUGAUCAGCCACACUGGGACUGAGACACGGCCCAGACUCCUACGGGAGGCAGCAGUGGGGAAUAUUGGACAAUGGGCGAAAGCCUGAUCCAGCAAUGCCGCGUGAGUGAUGAAGGCCUUAGGGUUGUAAAGUUCUUUUACCCGGGAUGAUAAUGACAGUACCGGGAGAAUAAGCGCCGGCUAACUCCGU
rnacentral:rRNA from 1 species